rnacentral:lncRNA from 1 species
GCCCAAAAUAUCUCCCAACCUUUCUAUCGUAGAUUCGUUCCGUCGCCGUGGGCGGAGUUUCUCCUCCGUCGUCUUCAACCGGUGCGGCGGUGCCUCCUCCUCUGCCCGGCAGGCCGGCAACCGCACCAACCCAAGCAAGCUAGCUAGCAGGAGGAGCAACCCAUCGACUCAGGCAAGCUAGCUUAGCUCCAAACCGAAGCCAGCGGCUGCUCUUGGUCUGGCCGCCGCGCCUCAUCUACUCGCAUCUAGAGCAGCAGCAGCCAAGCCCCGCCCUCGCCCUCGCCGUCAACGAGGCCCGCGCCGGCUGUCGUCCCUAUCCCGCUCCAGGCUACAUCGAUUUGGGGAUUUCUGAAUUGGUGGGAGGAAGAGGGGAUUUCGGCGGUGAUAGCGCAGGGCGGAGAGAAGGCUAUUCCGACCAGGAAUAUAUCUCCAGGUUAUUCAUUCCAUCCUAAUUUUCAACCUCGUGCAUUCAAUAAAAAGAACUCAGGCUUCGUUUGACAAGGGUGGUUUUCCUGCCCCAAGGAGGUCGAGG